rnacentral:rRNA from 1 species
UACGUAGGGGGCAAGCGUUGUCCGGAAUCAUUGGGCGUAAAGGGCGUGUAGGCGGUCCGGUCAGUCGGUUGUGAAAGUCAAGGGCUCAACCCUUGAAUGCCGGCCGAUACUGCCGGGCUAGAGUCCGGAAGAGGUGAGUGGAAUUCCUGGUGUAGCGGUGAAAUGCGCAGAUAUCAGGAGGAACACCGAUUGCGAAGGCAGCUCGCUGGGACGUUACUGACGCUGAGACGCGAAAGCGUGGGGAGCAAACAGG